CGGACGGGUGAGUAAUAUCUGGGAAACUGCCUGAUGGAGGGGGGUAACUACUGGAAACGGUAGCUAAUACCGCAUAACGUCGCAAGACCAAAGAGGGGGACCUUCGGGCCUCUUGCCAUCGGAUGUGCCCAGAUGGGAUUAGCUAGUAGGUGGGGUAAAGGCUCACCUAGGCGACGAUCCCUAGCUGGUCUGAGAGGAUGACCAGCCACACUGGAACUGAGACACGGUCCAG
rnacentral:rRNA from 1 species